rnacentral:tRNA from 1 species
GGGUCGAUGCCCGAGCGGGACGGACUUUCAAUUCGUUGGCGAGAUGUCUACGCUGGUUCAAAUCCAGCUCGGCCCU